rnacentral:rRNA from 1 species
GAUCCAAGCGUUAUCCGGAUUUAUUGGGUUUAAAGGGUGCGCAGGCGGACCAAUAAGUCAGGGGUGAAAAAUUUCAGCUUAACUGGAAUCGUGCCUUUGAUACUGUUGGACUAGAGUAUAAUUGACGUGACUGGAAUGUGAUGUGUAGCGGUGAAAUGCUUAGAUAUGUCACAGAACGCCAAUCGUGAAGACAGGUCACGAAAUUAUUACUGACGCUCAUGCACGAAAGCGUGGGGACCAAACAGGAUUAGAUACCCUGGUAGUCCACGCUGUAAACGAUGAUUACUCGUUGUUGGGCAGUGAUGCUCAGUGGCUAAGCGAAAGCGAUAAGUAAUCCACCUGGGGAGUACGAUCGCAAGGUUGAAACUCAAAGGAAUUGACGGGGGCCCGCACAAGCGGAGGAGCAUGUGGUUUAAUUCGAUGAUACGCGAGGAACCUUACCCGGGCUUGAACGUAAGACGAAUAUAUAAGAGAUUAUAUAGCCUUCGGGCGUCUUGCGAGGUGCUGCAUGGUUGUCGUCAGCUCGUGCCGUGAGGUGCUAGGUUAAGUCCUGCAACGAGCGCAACCCUUACACUUAGUUGCCAGCACGUAAUGGUGGGGACUCUAAGUGAACUGCCUACGCAAGUAGAGAGGAAGGUGGGGAUGACGUCAAAUCCGCACGGCCCUUAUGUCCGGGGCUACACACGUGCUACAAUGGUAUGUACAGAGGGCAGCCACCUGGCGACAGGGAGCUAAUCCUCAAAGCAUAUCUCAGUUCGGAUUGGAGUCUGUAACUCGACUCUAUGAAGUUGGAUUCGCUAGUAAUCGCGCAUCAGCCAUGGCGCGGUGAAUACGUUCCCGGGCCUUGCACACACCGCCCGU